UUUCCGUAGGUGAACCUGCGGAAGGAUCAUUCAUAAUAAGUGUUUUAUGGCACUUUUUAAAAAUCCAUAUCCACCUUGUGUGCAAUGUUAGAUCUCGUCAAUCUUGGCGAGAUUUUUAUACAUCAACUCAUUCUUUAACUAAUUUGUCUGAAAAAUAUUAUGAAUACUUAAUUCAAAAUACAACUUUCAACAACGGAUCUCUUGGCUUUC
rnacentral:misc_RNA from 1 species